rnacentral:rRNA from 1 species
CUGGAGCUUGCUCCGGUGGAUUAGUGGCGGACGGGUGAGUAACACGUGAGCAAUCUGCCCUUGACUCUGGGAUAACUGCGGGAAACUGUAACUAAUACCGGAUACGAGGCUCGAAGGCAUCUUCGGGUCUGGAAAGAAUUUCGGUCAAGGAUGAGCUCGCGGCCUAUCAGCUAGUUGGUGAGGUAAUGGCUCACCAAGGCGACGACGGGUAGCCGGCCUGAGAGGGUGACCGGCCACACUGGGACUGAGACACGGCCCAGACUCCUACGGGAGGCAGCAGUGGGGAAUAUUGCACAAUGGGCGAAAGCCUGAUGCAGCAACGCCGCGUGAGGGAUGAAGGCCUUCGGGUUGUAAACCUCUUUUAGCAGGGAAGAAGCUAAAGUGACGGUACCUGCAGAAAAAGCACCGGCUAACUACGUGCCAGCAGCCGCGGUAAUACGUAGGGUGCAAGCGUUGUCCGGAAUUAUUGGGCGUAAAGAGCUCGUAGGCGGUUUGUCGCGUCUGCUGUGAAAACCUGAGGCUCAACCUCAGACCUGCAGUGAGUACGGGCAAGCUAGAGUGCGGUAGGGGAGAUGGGAAUUCCUGGUGUAGCGGUGGAAUGCGCAGAUAUCAGGAGGAACACCGAUGGCGAAGGCACAUCUCUGGGCCGUAACUGACGCUGAGGAGCGAAAGCGUGGGGAGCGAACAGGAUUAGAUACCCUGGUAGUCCACGCCGUAAACGGUGGGUGCUAGUUGUGGGUCACA